rnacentral:tRNA from 1 species
GCCGGUGUAGCUCAGUUGGCCAGAGCACCCGCCUUGUAAGCGGGUGGUCGCGGGUUCGAAUCCCGCCGCCGGCU